rnacentral:rRNA from 1 species
UUAGCAUGGAAUAAUAAAAUAGGACGUGCGGUUCUAUUUUGUUGGUUUCUAGAGUCGCCGUAAUGAUUAAUAGGGAUAGUUGGGGGCAUUAGUAUUCAGUUGCUAGAGGUGAAAUUCUUGGAUUUACUGAAGACUAACUACUGCGAAAGCAUUUGCCAAGGAUGUUUUCAUUAAUCAAGAACGAAGGUUAGGGGAUCGAAAACGAUCAGAUACCGUUGUAGUCUUAACAGUAAACUAUGCCGACUAGGGAUCGGGCGAUCUCACUUUUAUGUGUCGCUCGGCACCUUACGAGAAAUCAAAGUCUUCGGGUUCUGGGGGGAGUAUGGUCGCAAGGCUGAAACUUAAAGGAAUUGACGGAAGGGCACCACCAGGAGUGGAGCCUGCGGCUUAAUUUGACUCAACACGGGGAAACUCACCAGGUCCAGACAUAACUAGGAUUGACAGAUUGAUAGCUCUUUCUUGAUUUUAUGGGUGGUGGUGCAUGGCCGUUCUUAGUUGGUGGAGUGAUUUGUCUGGUUAAUUCCGAUAACGAACGAGACCUUAACCUGCUAAAUAGUCCGGCCGGCUUUUGCUGGUCGCAGACUUCUUAGAGGGACUGUCAGCGUCUAGCUGACGGAAGUUUGAGGCAAUAACAGGUCUGUGAUGCCCUUAGAUGUUCUGGGCCGCACGCGCGCUACACUGACAGAGCCAGCGAGUUCUCACCUUGGCCGGAAGGUCUGGGUAAUCUUGUGAAACUUUGUCGUGCUGGGGAUAGAGCAUUGCAAU